CAUGCCUGAGCGUUUGCUCUUUUAUUUUAUCUCAUUCUUUCUAAAUCUUAGAGAUCUAAAUUCUUUAAUUAAAUCGGCGAUUUAAUCUAUUCGGAAACUAGCCGAACUGUGCGUGUAUACUAAAUUUCCCGAAUUAUCUUAAGUAUUUUUAAAAUACUUACCUUGUCUAGUUAAAAGUCCGCUUUAAUUAUUUUUCUAAAACUUUUUCACACGGAUUAAUAUUUCUUUUCUCCCGUGACUUAGGAAAUUAAUCCCACUAUACCUUGGAAUUUAUCCAAAAAUAGGAAUUUAAUUAUUCCGGCCUAGAAUGUACACUUUUUUUCUUUUUAGCAAAAGGCCCAACUUUUCUUCUUCUCUCCUUUUUUCUUAUAUGGCCCAAUUUCAAAUUAAAUGGGCAAACCCAAAUCUUCACUCUCACCCGUCGCCUAUCCUCUCUCUCUCUCCUUCACCCCCUUCUUCUUUUCCCCCAAUUUCGAUUCCAAACCCUAACUGAAAGAGAAAGGGGUCUGGAUCGGAGGAACGAGCGGCGACGUUUGCCGGGGUUGCCACUGUCGCGCUCGUCCCGUCGCGUCGGCAUCGUUCUUGCAGAGGAAGGAGCGUCGUUCAUUCGGUUGAACCGCCGUCACCGUUAGCCGCCUCCCGUUCCUCACGACGGAGAGUCAUCGCCGGUUGCUCCCCGGCGUUCAGCAGCGCCGUGCGACCGUCGCGGUUCAGCCCGCCCCUUGGGGUUCUCAGCCUCUCGGCGAGCCCUCCGUCGACGUCGCGCCACUGACUGACAACCUCUCCCUAAGCUAAGUUUUCUGCCUCCUAUUACUUAGCUCGUUUCGUGGGUUUUUAAAAGGCAAAGUUAUGACAAAUCUAUUCAUGACUUUUGGUGAUGUUCAAGCUUUGAUUUUGUGAGAGUUCGAUUACUGUGUCUAUUAAAUUGGUUCGUAGUAGAAGCUUUAUGUUGUGAUCCUUGGCAGAAAUUUAGCUCACUGGAAUGAAUCUUUACACAAAAGCUUUAUUCGCUAUUUCUAUGGCUUCUUAAGUGAUCAUGCUUCUAUGAUUCUAAGUUCUUGGAAAUUUAUGGGGUAUUCUCUAAAUGAUGCAAGAGUGUAUUGUGGGGUUACUUACUGAGAAACGGGCCGUGAGGUUGUGGGAUCUCCGGCCGAGCUUAGAAUGAACUCUCUCUGUUUUGUUCUGCUGCUGGAACGUUGUGUGGAGUUACCGGUUAUGGUGGUGAACAGGCUGCCCUGGCUCCAACUCCUUAAGCCACCCGACUCUCUACUCUCACUCUUGCUAUUUUGCUGGAAGUUUGUUAUGGUGUGUAGGAGGAGAAUUUGAUGCAUAUGGUGGAAUUUUUUAUAGGCUGAAAUCACUUGUCUUUAUGCAUUGUACGCCCCUUGUCCUUGGCCCCUCAGUGCAGCUUUCUUUAACCGAUUUUGGUGGUAUAUUGCAGGUGCACCAGGUUGGGUCAAAGGUUGUUAGAGCACCAGGUUUUCCUCCCUUUCUCUGGCUCAUUGCAGAUUCGGUUAUUGGGUGCAGAGAUUGGCUGUUAUCUGCAGCCUUCCGGCGCUGCAGUUGGAGGGGGAAGUUGGCUGGCUGAUCUUUCCCUUCUCGGCCCAGCCUUCUCUCACUUUUUCGAAAGGCUAAGGUUGUGGUGCCGAGGCUGUCUCUCCUUAUGGCCUCACCCUCUCGGCUCGUCUGGAAUUUUGGGGCCAAGAUGGCUCACGUUGAAGGCCGAGGAAGUCCUCUAGGACUCUUGAUUGUAAUAGAGUAGCUCGAUUUGAGUUUCCCUCUUUUUCUUUACAUGUAUGUAGAGUCUAUUGAAAAUAAUGUGUUUCUGUUUUCUUUGUUCUCUUGACCUUUUGUAAGCUUAGACUUUAGCUCGAAAUAAUGACAUGUUGUGUUGCUCAAGAAAUAAAUAAAUAUUCUUUCUUUCUCUUUA